rnacentral:tRNA from 1 species
UCCCCCGUGGUCUAGAGGCAGGACGCCGGCCUUUGGAGCCGUGAGGCGCACGUUCGAACCGUGCCGGGGGAGCCA